AUAAAAUCGCAAAUCUGUUAGGAGGGAAACAAAUUAAUGUCUUAUAGGACGCAAGGGCACCAAUACUCUUAAGCUAUUGUGGUGACUGCUAUCCAAGGUCUUAUAAGGCAUUAAUUUGUUCCCCUCCUAAUGCAUGUGGAAUUCUAAUC
rnacentral:pre_miRNA from 1 species